AACGUAGGGGGCGAGCGUUGUCCGGAAUUACUGGGCGUAAAGGGCGUGUAGGCGGCAAUGCAAGUCAGGAGUGAAACCCGUCGGCUCAACCGACGGCCUGCUUCUGAAACUGCAUAGCUUGAGUGCAGGAGAGGGAAGUGGAAUUCCCAGUGUAGCGGUGAAAUGCGUAGAUAUUGGGAGGAACACCAGUGGCGAAGGCGACUUUCUGGACUGUAACUGAAGCUGAGGCGCGAAAGCGGGGGGAGCAAACAGGAUUAGAUACCCCGGUAGUCC
rnacentral:rRNA from 1 species